rnacentral:rRNA from 1 species
UACGUAGGGUGCGAGCGUUGUCCGGAAUUACUGGGCGUAAAGAGCUCGUAGGUGGUUUGUCGCGUUGUUCGUGAAAACUCACAACUCAAUUGUGGGCGUGCGGGCGAUACGGGCAGACUGGAGUACUGCAGGGGAGACUGGAAUUCCUGGUGUAGCGGUGGAAUGCGCAGAUAUCAGGAGGAACACCGGUGGCGAAGGCGGGUCUCUGGGCCGUAACUGACGCUGAGGAGCGAAAGCGUGGGGAGCGAACAGG